UCCACGCCCUAAACGAUGAACACUGGUCGUCGGGAUGCUAGUCAUCUCGGUGAUGCACUUAACAGAUUAAGUGUUCCGCCUGGGGAGUACGGUCGCAAGAUUAAAACUCAAAGGAAUUGACGGGGGCCCGCACAAGCGGUGGAGCAUGUGGUUUAAUUCGAUGCAACGCGAAAAACCUUACCUGGGCUUGACAUCCCUCUGAUCGCUUUUAGAGAUAAGAGCUUCUCUUCGGA
rnacentral:rRNA from 1 species